GUGACGAAGCGACGCCGCGUGUGGGAAGAAGGCCUUCGGGUUGUGAACCACUGUCGGGAGUUAGGAAAUGUAAGGGUGCUAAUAGUAUCCUUACUUGACUAAGGCUCCGGAGGAAGCCACGGCUAACUCUGUGCCAGCAGCCGCGGUAAUACAGAGGCGGCAAGCGUUGUUCGGAAUUAUUGGGCGUAAAGAGCACGUAGGCGGCCUUGUAAGUCAGUUGUGAAAGCCUUCUGCUUAACGGAAGAACAGCAGCUGAUACUGCAAGGCUAGAGUGCGGAAGGGGAGAGUGGAACUUCCGGUGGAGCGGUGAAAUGCGUAGAUAUCAGAAGGAACACCGGCGGCGAAGGCGACUCUCUGGUCCGUAACUGACGCUGAGCGUGCGAAAGCUAGGGGAGCAAACGGGAUUAGAUACCCCGGUAGUCCUAGCCGUAAACGAU
rnacentral:rRNA from 1 species